UGGAGCAUGUGGUUUAAUUCGAAGCAACGCGAAGAACCUUACCAGGUCUUGACAUCCCCUGACAACCCGAGAGAUCGGGCGUCCCCUUCGGGGGACAGGGUGACAGGUGUGCAUGGUUGUCGUCAGCUCGUGUCGUGAGAUGUUGGGUUAGGUCCCGCAACGAGCGCAACCCCUAUUGUUAGUUGCCAUCAUUCAGUUGGGCACUCUAGCGAGACUGCCGGUAAUAAACCGGAGGAAGUGGGGAUGACGUCAAAUCAUCAUGCCCCUUAUGACCUGGGCUACACACGUGCUACAAUGGUUGGUACAACGAGUUGCGAGUCGGUGACGGCGAGCUAAUCUCUUAAAGCCAAUCUCAGUUCGGAUUGUAGGCUGCAACUCGCCUACAUGAAGUCGGAAUCGCUAGUAAUCGCGGAUCAGCACGCCGCGGUGAAUACGUUCCCGGGCCUU
rnacentral:rRNA from 1 species